rnacentral:lncRNA from 10 species
CAUUGGCCCAGGGUUGGCAAGAAGAGGAAGGUGUUGCAUCAACAUGCAGCACAUUCACCUGACAAGGAGCUGGCCGCAGCCUCCGCUGCCAAACGGUGACGGUGCUGGCUGGUGCCCCCAGGAGCUGUUCACCACCUCCCGGGCUAAUGGCGCUUGCUGCCUGGCACACAGCAGGUGACUACACUGCAUGGCUUAUAAAUGUGGCCUCUGCCAGGAAAUCCUGGGAAAGAGCCAGGGAGGUGACGUUUUAUCCACGAGCCUGCUAUGGCUUAGCCUAGCCCUCCCCUAACUGUGACCAAGCUCUGGAUGAGACACAGACAACUACUGAGGACCUGCAAAGUAAGGAGACUGCAGGGCGGAGGCGGAACUUGGAGGAGUGACCUGCCGUGGAGUUUCUGGUUUCCUCCUUGUGGCUUUGUCUGGAGGGCAAGCCCCACUCUCAGAUCCACAUGGCAACACAAGCAGCUAAAACGCAGAUAGAAACCCCAACCUGGGAAAAGGAGUCCUACAGUCUCACAGUGCCACCCAGCAGUGCCAACCCAGCAAAGGUCUUGAGAA